GAUGAACGCUGGCGGCGUGCCUAAUACAUGCAAGUCGAGCGAACAGACGAGGAGCUUGCUCCUCUGACGUUAGCGGCGGACGGGUGAGUAACACGUGGAUAACCUACCUAUAAGACUGGGAUAACUUCGGGAAACCGGAGCUAAUACCGGAUAAUAUAUUGAACCGCAUGGUUCAAUAGUGAAAGACGGUUUUGCUGUCACUUAUAGAUGGAUCCGCGCCGCAUUAGCUAGUUGGUAAGGUAACGGCUUACCAAGGCAACGAUGCGUAGCCGACCUGAGAGGGUGAACGGACAAACUGGAACUGAGACACGGUCCAGACUCCUACGGGAGGCAGCAGUAGGGAAUCUUCCGCAAUGGGCGAAAGCCUGACGGAGCAACGCCGCGUGAGUGAUGAAGGUCUUCGGAUCGUAAAACUCUGUUAUUAGGGAAGAACAAAUGUGUAAGUAACUAUGCACGUCUUGACGGUACCUAAUCAGAAAGCCACGGCUAACUACGUG
rnacentral:rRNA from 1 species